AGGAAAAAGAGAGCUGGAUUGCAAGACAUAAAGGUCGAGAAUGGAUGAAGAUAGGACAUAGUGAUAGGCGCUCAAAGGUUCUCUCAGUACGGUCGGAAAUCGUACGUAGAGUGUAAAGGCAAAAGAGAGCUUGAUUGCAAGACAUACAGGUCGAGCAAGGAUGAAAAUCGGACUUAGUGAUCCGGUGGUUCUGCGUGGAAGGGCCAUCGCUCAACGGAUAAAAGCUACCCUGGGGAUAACAGGCUUAUCUCCCCCAAGAGUCCACAUCGACGGGGAGGUUUGGCACCUCGAUGUCGGCUCAUCACAUCCUGGGGCUGUAGUAGGUCCCAAGGGUUGGGCUGUUCGCCCAUUAAAGUGGUACGCGAGCUGGGUUCAGAACGUCGUGAGACAGUUCGGUCCCUAUCCGUCGCAGGCGUAGGAAAUUUGAGAAGACCUGUCCUUAGUACGAGAGGACCGGGAUGGACGUACCUCUGGUGUACCAGUUGUCCUGCCAAGGGCAUGGCUGGGUAGCUAUGUACGGAAUGGAUAAGCGCUGAAAGCAUCUAAGCGCGAAGCCAACUUCAAGAUAAGAUUUCCCACCGCAAGGGUAAGACCCCAGAAAGACUAUCUGGUUGAUAGGUCGAAGGUGUAAGUGCAGCAAUGUAUUUAGCUUAUCGAUACUAAUAGGUCGAGGACUUGACCAAUAUU
rnacentral:rRNA from 1 species